CUGGAACGCAUAGAAGUGAGAAUGCCGGUAUGAGUAGCGAAAGAUAGGUGAGAAUCCUAUCCGCCGAAAGACUAAGGUUUCCUGGGGCAGGCUCGUCCGCCCAGGGUAAGUCGGGACCUAAGGUAAGGCCGAGAGGCGUAGCCGAUGGACAACAGGUAGAUAUUCCUGUACUAUUCGUAAUCGAUAAGAGCGAAGGAGGGACGCAGG
rnacentral:rRNA from 1 species